UCCACUAAGAUAACAGCUACCAGCUUUCAUUGACAGUUGCAGAAACAAAGUGACUUCAUUCUCCUCUUCAAACAAUUACUUUUGAUGGAACAGUUUUGUUUUGAACAUCAGCUCCCAGGAUUCGUCAGCCAGCACAGCUGCUGGGAAGUCAAUGCAACCACUGAUCUGAUUUAUGGUGGAGCAAAGGAUUGCCAUUUAUCAGCAAAAGCUACAGAAGACAUCCUACUUUCUGGAGUUCCAAAUAGUAUCGUUACAAAAUAAUUUUGAUGGCUGCAAGUAUUGAUAUGAAGAAAUGUUUGCUUAGACUACACACAAGAAUUGUCAUCAUCAAAUGGGCAAUGGUGCAUGGACAAGCUUCACCUCCACAGCCAUGCUCCAUCCUUACUCCCUGACUACAAUGACGACUGGGAAAUGGAUAGUAAUAUAACUUCCAGAAAAGCUGAGAUGGUGUUAGUAAAAUUUACUCAUUCCCUCAUGAUUAUUAUCACCUCUGAUUAUAUAAGUAUGCCUGUGAAGUUUUGCACUCCACCUGUGUUAAAGAGGAUCUUAGCUAGUAUUGAGAAAGCAAGAGAUGUACAUUGAAUGAUUUAUAGUAAGCCUCAACUGGAGAAUCAGAAUGAGUCAUGUCUUCUCAAUACUGAACUCACCCUAUGCAGUCCUUUCAUUCAGAGUGACUCAAUGUGAAGUUGGGGUGAACUAGUAUAUUUGGGCUUCCAGGAAGCAUGGCACUGGAGUCCUAUUUGAGUAUCAGAA